UCCGACAUUACCUUGAGCAAACAAAAUCAUCUUUACCAGGAAGACGUCCACACGCAGGUGAAACAGAUAGCAACAAUGGUGUUGGUGACUGAUGUUCUGAUGUUUGAGCCCAUGAUGAUUGUAAACGGCCGACUGAACAUUCAGCUCUACACAGACAGACACGAUCAAACAAAGGACGAGACUGACGAUGAUGCACGUAGAGGUGGAAGAUCUCCGGACUAACACCGUCACCAGUAUUCACACCAGAGGUCCAGCUGAGAAUACAGCGUAUUGUAGAAGAGUGACGGUGCUCACCUCCAGCAGGUUGAACAGCAGAGCUCAACCAGUCGAGGGAACACAUGAAGAAGUGGGGCAGCAGAAAGAGGAGAGGGAUUUUGCAGAGGGGCACAUGCUACUGAUUUCACUCGCUCUGACAUUGCCUCAGUUUCCAUCAUCCCGUUCUGGCGGGGCGAUGGGAGGCAGUCAUAUGAUUUGUACAACAACAACAACAGAACUCUCAUU